AUUGGAACGCUGGCGGCAGGCUUAACACAUGCAAGUCGAACGGUAGCAGGAAAAAGCUUGCUUUCUUGCUGACAAGGGGCGGACGGGUGAGUAAUGCUUGGGAAUCUGGCUUAUGGAGGGGGAUAACGACGGGAAACUGUUGCUAAUACCGCGUAUUAUCGGAAUAUGAAAGUGCGGGACUGAAAGGCCCCAUGCCAUAGGAUGAAUCCAAGUGGGAUUAGGUAGUUGGUGGGGUAGGGGUAAAGGCUUACCAAGACCAUGAUGCAUACCCAAAUUGAGAGACUGAUCGGCCACAUUGGGACUGAGACACGACCCAAACUCCUACGGGAGGCUGCAAUAGGGAAUCUUCCACAAUGGGCGCAAGCCUGAUGGAGCAACGCCGCGUGUGUGAUGAAGGCUUUCGGGUCGUAAAGCACUGUUGUAUGGGAAGAAAUGCUAAAAUAGGGAAUGAUUUUAGUUUGACGGUACCAUACCAGAAAGGGACGGCUAAAUACGUGCCAGCAGCCGCGGUAAUACGUAUGUCCCGAGCGUUAUCCGGAUUUAUUGGGCGUAAAGCGAGCGCAUACUGUUGAUUAAGUCUGAUGUGAAAGCCCGGAGCUCAACUCCGGAAUGGCAUUUGGAAACUGGUUAACUUGAGUGUUGUAAGAGGAAGUGGAACUCCAUGUGUAGCGGUGGAAUGCUAAGAUAUAUGGAAGAUCCCCAAGGCGGAUGCUGCUUACUGGACAACACUGACGUUGAGGCUCUAAAGUGUGGGUAACAACAGGAUUAUAUACCCUAAAGGCCCAGGGCCAAAUCCACAGUGGAUAUAAGCUUCUCGAUACCUCCAACCUCGAGGGGGGGCCCGGACUCAGUUCUUUUCCCUUUAUUAAGGGUGAAUUCGCGCUUGC
rnacentral:rRNA from 2 species